GCGCGGCUGGUGGAAUUGGCAGACACAAAGGACUUAGGAUCCUUCGCUACGGCGUGCGGGUUCAAAUCCCGCGCCGCGUACCA
rnacentral:tRNA from 1 species